rnacentral:rRNA from 1 species
UAUUGCCUACGGGACGCAGCAGUAGGGAAUCUUCGGCAAUGGGCGAAAGCCUGACCGAGCAACGCCCCGUGAAUGAAGAAGGCCUUCGGGUUGUAAAAUUCUGUUAUAAGGGAAGAAAGGUGAUAGGAGGAAAUGGCUAUCAAUUGACGGUACCUUAUGAGAAAGCCACGGCUAACUACGUGCCAGCAGCCGCGGUAAUACGUAGGUGGCAAGCGUUAUCCGGAGUUAUUGGGCGUAAAGAGCGCGCAGGUGGUUAAUUAAGUCUGAUGUGAAAGCCCACGGCUUAACCGUGGAGGGUCAUUGGA